UUGAAACGCGGGCGGCAUGCGCUUAUACACUAUCAGUCGAACGGCAGCACGGGGGCGACCCCUGGUGGCGAGUGGCGAACGGGUGAGUGAUACAUCGGGACGUGUCCCGUAGUGGGGGAUAGCCCGGCGAAAGCCGGAUAAAUACCGCAUACGAUAUACGGAAGAGAGCCGGGGGAUCCUUUCGGAACUUGGCGCUAAUAGGGGCGGCCGAUGGCAGAUUAGCUUAGUUGGUGGGGUAAAGGCCUACCAAGGCGACGAUCUGUAGCUGGUCUGAGAGGACGACCAGCCACACUGGGACUGAGACACGGCCCAGACUCCUACGGGAGGCAGCAGUGGGGAAAUUUUGGACAAUGGGGGAACACCCUGCAUCCAGCAACAUGCCGCGUGUGUGAAGAAGGCCUUCGGGUUGUAAAGCACUUUUGUCCGGAAAGAACACUUCUGCCCUCAUACGGUGGGAGGAUGACGGUACCGGAAGCAAUAAGCAACCG
rnacentral:rRNA from 1 species